UUCUGGACAUAGUGACUCCUCUUCAAUCAAUAUAUGGUACUAUGUAACCAUUCCAAGAAGCCCAGCCUUGAAAUUGAAAGACCACAUUUCAGAAUCAAAGAUGCUGCAGUGACUCUCAGGAGGUGGACUACAUUCAGAAAAUCAAAGGAAAGGAGGGAGUAUGGAUAAACAUUAACAUGUAUUGAGCAUUCCCUUUACUGCAGUGAGGGGAGGCUCUGUUAGGUUGAAGAUCCUAGUUUCUGGAGGAUGGAUGAUGAAGUAUGUUUCCAGUAAGGGAUACCCUAGGUGGUCCAUUGAACCUGAAACUAUAUGCUGCCAUUUGGUCACUUGGAGAUUCUCAUGCCAAAGGACCAGCAGUGUGAAGAAACAUCCUGACAGUUAUUCACAGUGACUUCAAUGAACACCAUAUCAGGAUACUUUUUACACAGGGGACAAAAGUAAAAGACAGCUUGAUCAUUUACAACGUUUUCACCGUGCAGCUGAGACAUCAAGGACUACAAGUUGAUCUUCAGCUUCUUAAAAUAUGGCCUCGAAGCCUUUCGUGUCUUCAGUCAGCUCCAGCAUUUUGACUGAUGGGAGCUGGUGUGUGUCUGUGUGCAGUGGGAGAAAGGACAUAAUUCUGAACCUGACACAGCCUGCACCUGGAGCAGCCUGCGCCUGCUGCCCUCAAUCCUUUGGGUGCAUACAGUCAACCUCAUCUGAAACAUUGUUUGUACAAUCGCUAACGCCAGUGGCUAAUCUUUUCUAUUUGCCUGCUUUAUCCCAACACUGUCUUCUAUUGAGGUGAAUAUCAAUAUUUGAAUAACAAUAACAAAAGAUUCUGUAAUCAAAGUGGAAAUAAAUGAGUAUUUUAGAUUAUUUUAAAUAAUUUGGCCUGUAAAAAUAAAAAGAAAAAC